UUUGGGAUAACUUUACAGGAAGUAAUAUGCUUCUCAUAAUUUUCUCAUUGUAUAUUUUGAAGUAUAAACUAAAUAAACAACUAUAAUGAGCCAUCGGGGUGCUCAGCAACAGAAGAGUAUCAGGUUGUAGUUACACAGAUGAUAGCUACAUCAAUGACAGAGCUAACCAUCAAUAGAAAUAAAAUCCGCUGGAUUUCAAAGAAGCUUUGGAAAAACAAGAAAAAUCAAAUUCAAUCUAAUAAAAACAAGAAUAAUUUCUGGAUUACAAUGUGGUUCUGAAACUGUGUAUCAACAAAGGUGAAUUUUACAUCGCACUCUAAUUCUCAGACACGGAGCAAAUUUUAUUUCAGAGAAGAAUGCAAUUUCAAAAGUACAAUGACUAUACUCUCCAUGAAAAAGUAAAAUAUUUGGGAGUAACUAAGAAAUGAGACAGAGAAACUGUAAUGAUGACCAUAUCCUCCUACUGACUUAUGCUGAAGACAAAAUAAAAGUUCCAAUCUUGCUACUAGACAAAUGAUUGUUCCCACCCUCUUUAUGUGUCUCAUUCUUAAUGGAGAAGCAUGUAAAAAUAACCUGAAGCUAAAAGUAGAGAACUCUAGAGAAGGAAGAAGGAAGAUGAACCCAUCCACUUGUCUGUUAUGACAAAUUAGUGUUGCUCUGAGGCCAUUUUGAGGCCAUUUCCACCUGUAUGAGGCCUGUAUUUGCUCCCCUCUCCAAACAGUAUGUUAGUCACCUUUUCAUAAUGGCCCUCCUUACUUGUUUUUCUUUUCUUCAGACCAUUUGACACAGUCUGCUGUUUUACUAGGCAUUCAGAAGGCUUUAGCAUGCCUUCUAAUCAUAGCAUAUUAAAGAACAAGCAAAUGUUAAUGUCUUGAUUCAAACUAAAAUAUUAAUGUUACUAAAUUAUUUUCCAGAGAAAUACUGUGGCUAUUUAUUUUUAUUAUUUCAUUUAUUUUCUAGAGAAAGUAUUACGGCCAACACCCCACAAAUGCAUAAUCACUGUAUGGAGG